CUGCCUGCAGUGAGGACGGUGUGUAAGUAAGUAAGCACGCACGCGAAAGUGAUUCCCAAACAGAGAGCUCUCCCUGUGUCAUCGGCGAUGCAUUGUCGGCGCCGCGCGGCAGCCGACGGUUACGACUGACAGGAAAUCGGACGGCUGUGCGUUCAAUCAAGCCGACAAGCGGCCGAGGGGUCUCACCGCCGAGUCUGUGUGUGAACAUAGACUGCCGUCGCUUGCUCCCCGCUCUCGUUCGUCGCUCCGUAGCGCCGGGGAAGCGGUGACAGACUAUCGGGUACCCCCAUUUUAUUGUUUACCCUCGCGCGGCGGUGGCACACACAAUUCGCUCGCGUGUGGUGUCGUGAUUGGAGGGAAGAUUCCUAUCGGGAGAAAAGAUCCACGGAGGAGAAGAUCCCAAUCGGUAGGAAAGAUCUACGGAAGGAACAGAUUCUACUCGCGGUCAGAGAGAGAGGCUCUCUAGCUGUCAGUCUCGCAGGGAAAACUCUUCGUCGUGAUGCUUUCCCGAUAGUGACACGUCGUCGGGGCGGCUUGCCUACACGCAUACGCAAGCAGUGCCACUAGGGACCUCUAUAUACUCGACUCGGCAGCACACGAUGUGAGGCGCUACUCUGGCAGCGGCGCGCGCACGUACGCGCACUCAUCAUUUUACGGUUAGUACAAUUGAGCGGGCGAGAGCCGUAUACACACACGUAUCGACACGGGCAGCACUCGACGCUGAGUGAAGACUCGUAGCCGAGAGAGCGGAUAGCGUGAAUUCUAUGAUUCUAAACUUGACACCGUCUCUUCACUAUACGUCCAUGCGAAUUAAGGUGGCGGAGUAUGAUUAGCUCAAUCAGCGGCGAACGCACUUGACGGCAAGCGUAAACGAUACCAGUGGUACACGGAGAGAACCCGGCCUUCAACAUAAAGACGAUCGACGUGAGACGUGGUUGAUAAUUACACGCGUCUCCGGUGUGACGUCACGAUGCCGCUCGGACAGGUGUUCUACUGUCUCCUCACUAUCCUGAUUAGCUCAC